rnacentral:rRNA from 1 species
UACGUAGGGGGCAAGCGUUGUCCGGAUUUAUUGGGCGUAAAGAGCGUGUAGGCGGCUAGGUAGGUCCGUUGUGAAAACUCGAGGCUCAACCUCGAGACGCCGGUGGAAACCAUCUAGCUAGAGUCCGGAAGAGGAGAGUGGAAUUCCUGGUGUAGCGGUGAAAUGCGCAGAUAUCAGGAAGAACACCCGUGGCGAAGGCGGGUCUCUGGGCCGAAAUUGACGCUGAGGAGCGAAAGCGUGGGGAGCAAACAGG